UGAUCAGAAGGAAACUUUAUUAACCACAUCUCAUGGAUGGAUAAUUACUUUUUUUGUCGUAACAUAAAAUGGCAAAAACCAACCGACCGCUACAACAGUAAAAUAAAAUCCUCUAGCUCCACGAUUUCAACCUCUGUUGCAUAGUUAAAAUGAUUAAAUAAAUAAAAAGUCAGAUUAGCCAAUUGUCUGUACAACAUCCAAUACUAAACACUUACCCUACUGUAGAUCCCCCUUCUUGGUUCUGCUCUAAUAGUGUCCAUGUACACAGUUUGCCAGCUAUCUACACAAACAGACUUGAAAUGUCCACGAGGAUGUUGCUCUAUGACAGUAACGGUUGGUUAGUUGGAGCUGGUCAACAUAUCUUAUGGUCUCAUAUCCUGCAAAGACAAUAGUCACCUCUCUUAGGACAUUUUCACAUGAUCGUGUUCCUUGAGGGUUUGGGUGCCUGUUUCACCCUAGAUGUCAACAGAACACAUCCUGGUACUUUCGUGGGUCCAUACCAGGGUCUAGGAACUACUCAACCAAUAGCCAGUCACAAGGAGUCUUUACUGUACACAUCAUGUAGAAUGGUUGUCUUGUGAAAUGUGUUAUCUGAAAUUAAAUGCUUCCAGAUUUAUACAUGAAAUCAUUUUUACCAAUUUACAGAGUUUUACCUAUGCAGGACCAGUUGACCAAUAACAUUCUGCUUGUUUGAACAACUAGGCUACUGAAAGUAGUAAGAUAUGGCAGCUCUGCUUCUAGCUCCUAAGCAACUUUGACAAGCAUUUCGCUACACCCGCAAUAACAUCUGCUAAAUAUGUGUAUGUGACCAAUAAAAUUUGAUUUGAAGAGUGCCGUUAGCGUUUGUGACUACCACUACAUUUUCUAGAAAUUUAUUGCAGCACAGAAAUUGAGAAUCCAUCAGUUCUACCAGUGUGUUAUUAGUCAAAGCUUCCCAUACACACUGUCUUCAGAAAAGUAUUCACACCCCUGGACUUUUUUCUAAAAUUGUGUGUUACAGCCUACAUUUAGAAAUUGCUUAAAUUGACAUUGGUCCCUGGUCUACACACAAUAAUCCCAUAAUGUCAAAGUGGAAUUUAGGUUAAGAAUUCUUACAAAUUCAUUCAAACUGAAAAGAUGUCAUGUCUUCAGUCAAUUGGUAUUCGACCCUUUUGUUAUGGCAAGCAUAAGUAAGUUCAGGAGUAAAAAUGUGCAUAACAAACUCAAACAGAUUCAACCACAAAGACAUUGAAUAUCCCUUUAAGCAUGGUCAAGUUAUUAAACUUUGGAUGGUGUAUCAAUACACCCAGUCACUACAAAGAUACAGGCGUCCUUCAUAACUCAGUUGCCGGAGAGGAAGGAAACCUCUCAGGGAGUUCACCAUGAGGCCAAUGGUGACUUUAAAACAGUUACAGAUAUUAAUGGCUGUGAAAGGAGAAAGCUGAGGAUAGAUCAACAACAUUGGUGUAACUCCAUAAUACUAACCUAAAGGACAGAGUAAAAAGGAAGCCUGUACAGAAUAAAUAUAUUCCAAAACAUGCAUCCUGUUUGCAACAACACACUAAAGUAAUACUGCAAAAAAUGUGGCAAAGCAAUUAACUUUUUGUCCUGAAUACAAAUUGUUAUGUUUGGGGAAAUCCAAUACAGCACAUUACUGAGUACCACUCUCCAUAUUGUCAAGCCUAGUGGUGGCUGUAGAAUAUUUCUUCCACUUUGACAUUCAAGUAUUGUGUAGAUCGUUGACAAAAAAACAUCAUUUUAAUCUCACUUUGUAGCAACUACAUGUGGAAAAAGACAGGGGAUGUGAAUACUUCGAAGGUCCAGUAUACAAAGUCCUGGAGUUCCUCAGCGAAACGUGAUCCAGUUGCAACCUGCAUGCAUGCGCGUGCAGAACAAACGCAUUGAUUUGAGUUAAUCCUCAUUCUGGUCGAGCUCCUUACAUUACAAACUGAAGUCCAGAUCUCUGAAAAACCAUGGCUGAACCUCUGUGGCGAUGAGUGGAACUGGAUUCUUAGAGAAUAUGGCGUUGGCAGGGUUGCGAUAGCUUUCACCCUAGACAUGCUGUUACUGACUGAAAUUAUCACAAUGGAAACCACAUGACUUGGUCUCAAUUUGGAGUCCGGCUGGUUGAUUGGAUUUCUUGCCAGUUUGUGGCGUCCCGAUCCAGAGGGAUGAAUCGCCACAGUCCGCACAGUAGGAAUACACGCGUCCAUAAUGUGAAUAAACAAACCAAAAAAAAUCUGCCUCUCCAUAUUAUCGCUCUCUCCAACGCACAUAAUAGGUCUGAUAAAUCCAGGUCUGAUUAAUCCAGGUCCGUUUCCCCUCCUUCACAGCGAUCAGACUUCCUGCCCCGAGUGUUUAUAGUCACAGGAUUCAGGAGGAGACAAGCAGCCCAAUUAGUGUGGACGCAUCCUAACAGAGUCUUUAACCCUUUAAGCUAUUCAAAACAACUUGUGUAGUAACUUCUCCAAGGUGCCUUCAACUUCAAUUUGCUGUCACUCGUGUACAGUUUUAGACAGUGUCUGUUCUUAUGCCCUGGUCCUAGGUCAGCUUACUCUACCAUAAUACUAAUGUGAAUCUGUUCAUCUAAAAGCUAUUUGCUGAUCUUGGGUCAGCAUUCUCCAUUGAAAUUCCUCAGUUUAGUGUCAUUUACAGGAGUCCGAGGGCCUCAUGACAGAUCAGUCACAGACCAUGCUCAUCAAGAUGACACUGCCAGCAGAAAAAGACUGAUAUAUAUAUAUAUCUCAAUCAAUAAAUAAUUAUGCUUUUGUGUAAAUUAGAAAGUAUGAUUGAUUGUGAAAAUCCAAACCAUGGAGACAUAUUGAGCCGGUCUGUAUCCAGGUCCUCAGGAAGGACAGUUUGUUCCUCUAGGUGGUUGUCAGUUUCUUGUCCCUGUGACCUAGGUGAGCACUUGGGCUGACACACUGUGGCUGUCCCCUCCUGUCCUUGUCCAUUCUGCUGGUGAUGUCACAACGAAGGAGAAGGAACGGAGGGAACGCCGCUGAGACUUACUUCUUCUCUGGUGUCCGGAAAAUCUGUUCGUAGGGUGGGGGUGGGUGGUUGCAGUACGAGGGCGGUGGAGGGUAGUCGUUCAUCGUAUGGGCGGGGCCGGGAUGGAUGGGGGUGAGGGGGGAAGUCAUGACGCCGCCGGGGUCGCCAUAGCCUACCAUGCCAGGCUGCUGGGAUACUG
rnacentral:lncRNA from 1 species